UCCGGUUCCUCACCGGCAGUCUCCUUAGAGUCCCCAACUAAAUGAUGGCAACUAAGGACAAGGGUUGCGCUCGUUACGGGACUUAACCCAACAUCUCACAACACGAGCUGACGACAGCCAUGCAGCACCUGUCUCUGCGUUCCUUUCGGCACGUCUAAAUCUCUUCAAACUUCGCAGGAUGUCAAGGGUAGGUAAGGUUCUUCGCGUUGCAUCGAAUUAAACCACAUGCUCCACCGCUUGUGCGGGCCCCCGUCAAUUCAUUUGAGUUUCAACCUUGCGGCCGUACUUCCCAGGCGGAAUACUUAUCGCGUUAGCUUCAAGACUGAUAGGUUCCCCUACCAACCUUUAGUACUCAUCGUUUACAGCGUGGACUAC
rnacentral:misc_RNA from 1 species